rnacentral:rRNA from 1 species
GUUAGCGGCGGACGGGUGAGUAACACGUGGGCAACCUGCCCUAUAGUUUGGGAUAACUCCGGGAAACCGGGGCUAAUACCGAAUAAUACAUUUUAUCUCCUGAUGAGAUGUUGAAAGAUGGUUUCGAGCUAUCGCUAUAGGAUGGGCCCGCGGCGCAUUAGCUAGUAGGUGAGGUAACGGCUCACCUAGGCGACGAUGCGUAGCCGACCUGAGAGGGUGAUCGGCCACACUGGGACUGAGACACGGCCCAGACUCAUACGGGAGGCAGCAGUAGGGAAUCUUCCACAAUGGGCGAAAGCCUGAUGGAGCAACGCCGCGUGAGUGAAGAAGGUUUUCGGAUCGUAAAACUCUGUUGUAAGGGAAGAACAAGUGCAGUAGUAACUGGCUGCACCUUGACGGUACCUUAUUAGAAAGCCACGGCUAACUACGUGCCAGCAGCCGCGGUAAUACGUAGGUGGCAAGCGUUGUCCGGAAUUAUUGGGCGUAAAGCGCGCGCAGGCGGUUUCUUAAGUCUGAUGUGAAAGCCCCCGGCUUAACCGGGGAGGGUCAUUGGAAACUGGGAGACUUGAGUGCAGAGAGGAAAGUGGAAUUCCAAGUGUAGCGGUGAAAUGCGUAGAGAUUUGGAGGAACACCAGUGGCGAAGGCGACUUUCUGGUCUGUAACUGACGCUGAGGCGCGAAAGCGUGGGGAGCAAACAGGAUUAGAUACCCUGGUAGUCCACGCCGUAAACGAUGAGUGCUAAGUGUUAGGGGGUUUCCGCCCCUUAGUGCUGCAGCUAACGCAUUAAGCACUCCGCCUGGGGAGUACGGUCGCAAGACUGAAACUCAAAGGAAUUGACGGGGGCCCGCACAAGCGGGUGAGCAUGUGGUUUAAUUCGAAGCACGCGAA